UUCCAGACUCCUACGGGAGGCAGCAGUGAGGAAUAUUGGUCAAUGGCCGCAGGGCUGAACCAGCCAAGUCGCGUGAGGGAUGACGGUCCUAUGGAUUGUAAACCUCUUUUGUCAGGGAGCAAAGGGCGCCACGUGUGGCGUUUUGCGAGUACCUGAAGAAAAAGCAUCGGCUAACUCCGUGCCAGCAGCCGCGGUAAUACGGAGGAUGCGAGCGUUAUCCGGAUUUAUUGGGUUUAAAGGGAGCGUAGAUGGGUUGUUAAGUCAGUUGUGAAAGUUUGCGGCUCAACCGUAAAAUUGCAAUUGAUACUGGCAGUCUUGAGUACAGUUGAGGUAGGCGGAAUUCGUGGUGUAGCGGUGAAAUGCUUAGAUAUCACGAAGAACUCCGAUUGCGAAGGCAGCUUACUAAACUGCCACUGACAUUGAUGCUCGAAAGUGUGGGUAUCAAACAGGAUUAGAUACCCGCGUAC
rnacentral:rRNA from 1 species